rnacentral:rRNA from 1 species
UUCCGGUUGAUCCCGCCGGACCUGACUGCUAUCGGAUUGAUACUAAGCCAUGCGAGUCUUUGCAGUAAUGCAAGGCAUACGGCUCAGUAACACGUAGUCAACUUACCCUAUGGACGAGGAUAAUCUCGGGAAACUGAGCAUAAUACUCGAUAGAUCAUAAUGCCUGGAAUGGUUUAUGGUUGAAAUGAUUCGUCGCCAUAGGAUGGGACUGCGGCCUAUCAGCUUGUUGGUGAGGUAAUGGCCCACCAAGGCGAUUACAGGUACGGGCUCUGAGAGGAGAAGCCCGGAGAUGGGUACUGAGACAAGGACCCAGGCCCUAUGGGGCGCAGCAGGCGAGAAAACUUUGCAAUGUGCGAAAGCACGACAAGGUUAAUCCGAGUGAUUUCUGCUAAAGAAAUCUUUUGCAAGUCAUAAAACCACUAGUGAAUAAGGGGUGGGCAAGUUCUGGUGUCAGCCGCCGCGGUAAAACCAGCACCUCAAGUGGUCAGGAGGAUUAUUGGGCCUAAAGCAUCCGUAGCCGGCUCUGUAAGUUUUCGGUUAAAUCCAUGUGCUCAACGCAUGGGCUGCCGAAAAUACUGCAUAGCUAGGGAGUGGGAGAGGUAGACGGUACUCGGUAGGAAGGGGUAAAAUCCUUUGAUCUAUCGAUGACCACCUGUGGCGAAGGCGGUCUACCAGAACACGUUCGACGGUGAGGGAUGAAAGCUGGGGGAGCAAACCGGAUUAGAUACCCGGGUAGUCCCAGCUGUAAACGAUGCAGACUCGAUGAUGCAUUGGCAUAUAGCCAGUGCAGUGUCGCAGGGAAGCCGUUAAGUCUGCCGCCUGGGAAGUACGUACGCAAGUAUGAAACUUAAAGGAAUUGGCGGGGGAGCACCACAAGGGGUGAAGCCUGCGGUUCAAUUGGAGUCAACGCCGG